rnacentral:rRNA from 1 species
GACGAACGCUGGCGGCGUGCUUAACACAUGCAAGUCGAGCGGAGCGGCGAACGGGUGAGUAACGCGUUAGUACCUGCCCCCCUCCCUGCGAUAACAGUUGGAAACGGCUGCUAAUACCGGAUAGUGGGGGAUGACUCGCGUCCUCUCGGCUUGUUGGCUGGGUAGUGGCGUACCAGGCCGACGACCGGUAGACGGGCUGAGAGGGCGACCGGCCACAUUGGGCUUAGAUACCGCCCGAACGCCGAAGGGUGGGAUCAGUAAGGAUGAUUGCACAGUGGAGGAAACGCUGAUGCAGCAACGCGCGGGCGUGAUGAUGGCCUUCGUGUUGUAAACCGCAUUCAGGCAUGACUCGGUAGGGGCAGAAGAAGCACCGGCUAACUACGUGCCAGCAGCCGCGGUAAUUC